GCGUGCCUAAUACAUGCAAGUCGAGCGAAUGGAUUAAGAGCUUGCUCUUAUGAAGUCAGCGGCGGACGGGUGAGUAACACGUGGGUAACCUGCCCAUAAGAGUGGGAUAACUCCGGGAAACCGGGGCUAAUACCGGAUAACAUUAUGAACUGCAUGGUUCGAAAUUGAAAGGCGGCUUCGGCUGUCACUUAUGGAUGGACCCGCGUCGCAUUAGCUAGUUGGUGAGGUAACGGCUCACCAAGGCAACGAUGCGUAGCCGACCUGAGAGGGUGAUCGGCCACACUGGGACUGAGACACGGCCCAGACUCCUACGGGAGGCAGCAGUAGGGAAUCUUCCGCAAUGGACGAAAGUCUGACGGAGCAACGCCGCGUGAGUGAUGAAGGCUUCACGGGUUCGUAAAACUCCUGCUGUUAGGGAAGAACAAGUGACUAGUUGAAUAAGCUGGCACCUUGACGGU
rnacentral:rRNA from 1 species